CACAAAUGCACACAAGACAGAGCCAUUUUUUUUCCCCACUGUGCAUUUGGCUUGAUGAGUGAGUGAUCAAAUUAUGUGAUAAUGACAUCCUGCACGUCUCCUUUAUAGAUUUCCUCUUCCUCUGUCUCACAGCACAGCAGCUCCGGGGACAGAUUCAUUUAGCAGAUACCGAUUCUACACUACUAGACAUCAUCAUUUAGUGCGACUCCAGCAUGGAUGUGUGAAGCAGCAAGGUGGCAUCCCUCAGCAGCCCCCGCAGCGGUGUGUGUGUGUGUGUGGUGGAGAUGGAUGUGUUCAUGUUUGCCCCGGGGGCUUGGAUGGAGCAGUCUGUACCUACAUCGUAGAGAGUGCACCAGCGGCAGUUGGAUGGGUUUAUACUGUAUAUGUCAUGGGAGGAACUGACGGAGACACUCCUUUGAAUUCAGAGUCUGUGAAGUGGAGCAGGACAAUGUCUCACCAGUCCUUGUUUCGGAUUCUCAUCCACAGACGACUGGUUUGGGCACAG